rnacentral:rRNA from 1 species
AACGAACGCUGGCGGCAUGCCUAACACAUGCAAGUCGAACGGGAUCCAGGCUUCGGCCUGGUGAGAGUGGCGGACGGGUGAGUAACACGUGGGAACCUGCCUUUUUGGUUCGGGAUAACCGCGGGAAACUGCGGCUAAUACCGGAUGCUCCCGAGAGGGGAAAGAUUUAUCGCCAGAAGAGGGGCCCGCGUCCGAUUAGGUAGUUGGUGAGGUAAUGGCUCACCAAGCCGACGAUCGGUAGCUGGUCUGAGAGGAUGAUCAGCCACACUGGGACUGAGAUACGGCCCAGACUCCUACGGGAGGCAGCAGUGGGAAUAUUGGACAAGUGGGGCAACCCUGAUCCAGCAAUGCCGCGUGAGUGAUGAAGGCCUUAGGGUUGUAAAGCUUCUUUUUGCCGAGGGAAGAUAAUGACAGGUACCGGGAGAAUAAAG